UACGAGAGCCUCAAGCGUUAUCCGGAAUUAUUGGGCGUAAAGGGUGUGUAGGCGGUAAUGUUAGUCUCAUGUCAAAGCCUGUCGCCAAACGACAGAUCCGCAUGGGAAACGGCAUAACUAGGAGGUGCGAGAGGUGAAUGGAACUCACGGUGUAGGGGUGAAAUCCGUUGAUAUCGUGGGGAACGCCAAAAGCGAAGGCAAUUCACUGGCGCAUACCUGACGCUGAAAACACGAAAGCC
rnacentral:rRNA from 1 species